rnacentral:lncRNA from 1 species
GGUAAUGUCUGGAAAACCCUACUCUUCCCUUGCUUGGCCCUGUGCUCUUUCAGAAGGUUGGUCCGUGGAAUGGGGUCCAUCCCCGACCAACAUUGGUGAUACCGAGUGAUGUCGUGCCCGGGCUUAGCAUGACAUCCGUCUUGACGACGUGUUGUAAUCAUCGCGUAUGUUUUUCGCUGCCAAAAAUCAUAGUUUUAACACUUUGUAAUGUUUUCUCUAAAUUUGAAACUUUGUACUUCUUUUGGAAACUCUUGUAAUGUAAAUCCCUAUGAUGUAAAAAUGUGAUGGUGAUUGUAUC